CGCCUUUCAGGAUCAUACCUGGAGAGUUUCCAGUACUUUACCAGUCUCGACUACAGGAGGGAGAGUCAGGCAGAGGCAUAUCCAUUCCAUUCCAAGCUUGGGCGGUGGCUAGCGAGUGGAAGGCAAUCUUCUACAAGA